AGGACGCAGACAGCAAGAUCCGUGCCAUAGCCCUACCAAUACUCAGCACCCUGCUGCAGCUCCUGGAUGGGGCUAAGAUCAGCCUCAUGGCUCUGGAGCUGUCCAGCAAGCUCCCAGUACUCUUUAAUGACGUAAGGAUGGAAGGGAGCCCAGAACACGAAGGAUGUGGGUUUGAGCCCAGUGUGCCCAUUCCUGCUGCCCUGUGACAGCGCACCAGGGGACUUCCUGGCCGGUCUUCAGUUCCAGGCGCUGCAUGCCCCUGGGCAGACUUUCUGCAGGGCAGAGCUUGCAUGCUUUAGAGCAGUUCUGGAGCCAUCCUCAGGAUAUCGACUCUUUGAAAGGGUAGAUAACAGGACAAGGGGAAAUGGUUUUAAGUUGAGAGAAGGAAGAUUUAGGUUGAAUGUCAGGGGGAAGUUCUUUGCAGAGAGAGAGGUGAGGUGCUGGAACAGGCUGCCCAGGGAGGUUGUGGAUACCCCGUCGCUGGAGGUGUUCAAGACCAGACUGGAUGGAGCCCUGGGCAGCCUGGUCUACUAUUAGAUGUGGAAGUUGGUGGCCCUGCAUGUGGCAAGGGGGUUGGAGAUUCAUGAUCCUUGAGGUCCUUCCAGCCUUGGCCAUUCUGUCAUUUUGUGAUCUGCCUGCAGCCUCCCAGCUCAGAGAUUCUGCCCCCACUUCAUUGAUGGUGAUGGCCCUGCUUGCCAUGGAGGUGGAGCUGCUGACACUGACAUCCUUCCUUUCUUCCUUCCUCCUCUGCAGGCGUCCAGCACUGUGUGGCAGCUCUCCAUCGACCUCUUCUUGGAAAUGUUGAGCUUUGUGGAGGGCCAAGGGAAGAGGAAGAUGCAGAAGGAGGUGUGCAAGAACUUGGCCCUGCUGUAUCUGCAGCUGCAUGAUGAGAAAGACAGUGUGGCCAAGGCCUCCCAGAAAGCCCUCCUCAGUGCCGCAUUGUUCCUGUGCUGGAGGCGGCUGGAGCACCUGGUGCAGACAGCGCAGUUCUGGCAGAUCAGCGAGUGCCUGGUACGCACAUUCCCACACUCCAGGACAGGGUCGGGACCACCCUGCGCUGACCCCGCACUCUUCCCUCUUCCCUCUCCAGCUGGCCAAGGAAGAAUGCGGCAC
rnacentral:lncRNA from 1 species